AAAAAAAAAACUUUAAACAUAGAAUUUUGAGUUGUUUCUACACAUGCUGUUAAAAUUUGAGAUCAUUUGAAUGAAAAUUAGUCAAGUAUAAUGCCUGUAAU